rnacentral:lncRNA from 1 species
UAAUACUACUUACCUAAAUUAUAAUCUAAAUGUUUAUUUCCUUAUUUUUAAUUUCAAUUGAUUUUUGUUUUGUUUUGUUUUCAUUGACCCUGCUUCCAAAUGUCCUUCAUGCUUUUAUAAUAGUUUGUUCUCCACCUCCACUUUCUAUCUCUGCUCUAGCAGAAUGCCCAGUUUGUCAUAGACUCAUGUGAGAAACCCUCUCCGUGGCUUACCAGAUAGACUUGCUCUAGAUUCUGAUAGAUGUAAUAGAUGAUUUCCUAACUUGUGUUUCAUAAAUACUAACUUAUUGAAUUUCUGUAGUCUGAGAGGCAGUAGAAAAUUGACAGGCACCUACCGUGGUAGUUCUCAAUAAACAUUGUUGAAUGUAUGUUGAAUAGAAAAAAGUAUUAUAAUAUAUUUAAGUUUACUUCUUCAGUUAAAAGGUCAUACUUUGUUCUGAUCCUUAAAUGGGAAGAAUAGCUCAGUAUAGAUUGAGGCAACAACUUUU